GCGGCGCUAGUGCAGUGGUUAGCAUGCGCCCCUGAAAGGGUUAGAUGCAGGUUCGAAUCCUGCUCGACGGU